GUCUACAGCCAUACCACCCUGAACAAGCCCGAUCCUUCUGAUUUCGGAAGCUAAGCAGGGUCGGGCCUGGUUAGUACUUAGAUGGGAGGCCACCUAGGAAGACCAGGUGCUGAAGGCG
rnacentral:rRNA from 1 species